rnacentral:rRNA from 1 species
UUGAAAGGGAAACGAUUGAAGUCAGUCAUACCAACGGGAAAUCAACCUUUUGAGCUUGGCUUCGUGGGUUUUGAAGAGGUUCAAAGCCUUCGGAUUCGCGAGAUUGGGAUCUCUCGGUGUACUUUCUCGUACGGUUAGUCAACAUCGGUUUUGAAUGUCAUAAAAUGACUGGAGGAAUGUAGCUUCGAUCUCGUAUUGAAGUGUUAUAGCCUUUGGUAGAUGUGAUGUUUGAGACCGAGGAUUGCAACGGAUACCCUUCAGGGCUAUUCGUCUGAUCUCUGAUACGUUGCCCUGAUGUUGAAAGCUUGCUUAUGAUGUUAGGGUAUUACGGUCAAAAGGUUAGAACGAAUUACAUUCGUUAAGGAUGUUGACGUA